GGGGUGAGGAACGCGUGGACAACCUACCCCGGCGUGGGGGAUACCCGCCAGAAAUGGCGGCUAAUACCGCGUACGGUCCCAUGGCGACGGGCUGUGGGAAGAAAGCAGCGAUGCGCGCUGGGAGGGGUCUGCGGCCGAUUAGCUUGUUGGCGGGGUAACGGCCCACCAAGGCAGUGAUCGGUAGCUGGUCUGAGAGGAUGAUCAGCCACACGGGGACUGAGACACGGCCCCG
rnacentral:rRNA from 1 species